rnacentral:rRNA from 1 species
UACGGGGGGGGCAAGCGUUGUUCGGAAUUACUGGGCGUAAAGGGCGCGUAGGCGGCCUGCUAAGUCGGAUGUGAAAUCCCUCGGCUCAACCGAGGAACUGCAUCCGAUACUGGCGGGCUUGAAUCCGGGAGAGGGAUGUGGAAUUCCAGGUGUAGCGGUGAAAUGCGUAGAUAUUCGCAAGAACACCAGUGGCGAAGGCGGCUCACUGGCCCGAUACUGACGCUGAGGCACGAAAGCGUGGGGAGCAAACAGG